rnacentral:tRNA from 1 species
UCCCUGGUGGCUCAGAUGGUAAAGAAUCCGCCUGCAAUGCGGGAGACCUGGGUUCGAUCCCUAGGUUGGGAA